rnacentral:lncRNA from 1 species
AAGGGAAGAAGGGAAGAAGGGAAGGCAAGGGAAGGGAAGGGAAGAAGGGAAAAGAAGGGAAGAAGGGAAGAAGGGAACAAGGGAAGGGAAGGGAAGGGAAGGAAAGAGUACUAUUUGCAGUACAGUUCAGCCUCAAGAUAAACAUUCCAACAUGGCCCCAAGAAGCCAUCAUUUGUUCAAUUUGUAACAUUUAGUGAAUCUUUUCAUAGUUAACUUCAUUUUCUAAUCACAACUUUAGUGUCUUCCUCAAUCUUCCCAGCCAGAAAAAUACAACAUAAUAAUUUCAAACAAACAAAUCCUGCUGCUCCAGGAAGAGAAUUGGGGAAGGGGUAAUGCUCACGUAAACAUAAUCAACCAUCUCUAUUGGAUACAAGCAAUUAAAACAAAACAAAACAAAACAAAACCUAACGGUCCCCAAAUUUGCCACCAGUGGUCCCAUUUCGUAGGAGCAGUUCUUUAUGCUAACUGGAAAGAGUUUGGUGUCCAGAAGCUACAGAACCAAAUAGCCCAUUGUUCAUCUCCUUACUCAUCCACAUUCAAAUCUCUUCUUCUUCUGUCCUUGUCCUUGUGUUUAGCCAUGGCCCCUCUUGUCAUUCCAUUUCUGAUUAUCCCCCUCCCCCUCAUCAGCACCACUAAAGACAGGGUCUCCCUCUGUAGUCCACUCUGCCCUGAGCCUGGUGUCCAUCCUUCUGCUGUGAGACUGGUGUCCGUCCAUCCCCACAGUCCAAGUGCUGGUGUUACAGACAAGUACCCC